rnacentral:tRNA from 1 species
UAGCUCAGUGGUAGAGCAGUUGCCUCUUAAGCAAUUGGUCGAGGGUUCGAAUCCC